rnacentral:rRNA from 1 species
ACUACGAGCAUUAGCUUAAAACCCAAAGGACUUGGCGGUGCUUUAGAUCCACCUAGAGGAGCCUGUCCUAGAACCGAUAACCCCCGUUAAACCUCACCCCUCCUUGUCCUCCCCGCCUAUAUACCGCCGUCGUCAGCUUACCCUGUGAAGGGCUUAUAGUAAGCAAAAUUGGUAAAACCCAAAACGUCAGGUCGAGGUGUAGCGUAUGGAGGGGGAAGAGAUGGGCUACAUUCCCUAAUGCAGUGAAUACGAAUAAUGAGUUGAAAUACUCAUCUGAAGGAGGAUUUAGUAGU